rnacentral:rRNA from 1 species
AACGAACGCUGGCGGCAUGCCUAACACGUGCAAGUCGAACGAGAUCUUCGGGUCUAGUGGCGCACGGGUGCGUAACGCGUGGGAAUCUGCCCUUUGGUUCGGAAUAACAGUUGGAAACGACUACUAAUACCGGAUGAUGACGAAAGUCCAAAGAUUUAUCGCCAGAGGAUGAGCCCGCGUAGGAUUAGCUAGUUGGUGUGGUAAAGGCGCACCAAGGCGACGAUCCUUAGCUGGUCUGAGAGGAUGAUCAGCCACACUGGGACUGAGACACGGCCCAGACUCCUACGGGAGGCAGCAGUGGGGAAUAUUGGACAAUGGGCGAAAGCCCGAUCCAGCAAUGCCGCGUGAGUGAUGAAGGCCUUAGGGUUGCAGAGCUCUUUUACCCGGGAUGAUAAUGACAGUACCGGGAGAAUAAGCUCCGGCUAACUCCGUGCCAGCCGCCGCCGUAA